rnacentral:rRNA from 1 species
CACGUAGGGUGCGAGCGUUGUCCGGAAUUAUUGGGCGUAAGAGCUCGUAGGCGGUGUGUCGCGUCGGCCGUGAAAACCUGCAGCUUAACUGUGGGCUUGCGGUCGAUACGGGCAUCACUGGAGUUCGGCAGGGGAGACUGGAAUUCCUGGUGUAGCGGUGAAAUGCGCAGAUAUCAGGAGGAACACCGAUGGCGAAGGCAGGUCUCUGGGC